rnacentral:lncRNA from 1 species
CGUUUAUAUUAUGAAGAGUUUCCAUUCUUCCUAUUAGCAAUAGGUUUUAUGGAGAUGUUCAGGUUAAGCCUAGAUUUUUGCUAAGAAUUUUGAUGAACUUUGCUGAAGCAAUAUGAGUAUUAUUUGCCCUUGAGCCCCCGGUUGUGUUAACGAGGAUCCCUAGUUUCAACCUUUUGUUGAAACAUCACAAAAUGUAGGUGGAGACUAUAGCACUUUCUUUUGCAGUGAGUCAACAAUGCCAGAAGCACUACACAAAAGCCAAGCAGACGUUAUCCCUGCCAGGUGGCCUGAUAUUGAAAAAAGAGAAAUAAAUAAUAUGCUAGAAAAAUUGGAUGACUCAGGGAGCAGGGAAGAAGAAGAGAUGAAGAUUAAAAUUGAUAACAUCAUUUUGUGACUCAGAGUCAUUUUUCCUGGAUCAUAUUUCAAACGUUGCCCUUGUUAAUUUUCCAAUGAAUAUACAGAUUUGAAAGCAAAGGAACAAUGACCCAAAAGAACUAAGAUUCGACAUGAAUGUGAAGAAUUGGGUUACAUAGGGGAAGUGUUUCCAGUAGCGGAUAAGACAUACAUGUGGAAUAGAGGAAAGAAAGUAAUUUAAUAGUCAGAUGGUCUCUGCUGCGAAUCCAGAUCUGCUCAGUGAGAGUGUAUCAUAGGGUCUAGCCAGGAAAACAGAAACCACUCUACGUCUUUCAAACCGAUGCAUUUAAUCAAGGGAAAUUAUUAUCCAAAAUGAUGAAAAACCUGAGAAGCCAUUAGGAGAUGGAAGGCAACAGGAGAAAACUGUAACCACAACUAGAGGUGAUGAAACAACAGGAGGAAAUGGGUAACCAGAGCCCAGCAUCUGGAGCUGUCCAGGAGAAGCUGGAGUCAGUGAAGACUGCCUAGUGGGAAAGACGAUCAUUGAAGGAGGAGCUUUCUUAAGGUUUCAUUCCUGCUCCCAGCAAGCAGUUUCUCAAAUGUGUGCUGCUGGUUCCUACUUGAAGACUGAUGAGAAAUGAUGACAGCCCCAUAUCAACUCGCCAUGAUAAUCCUAACAUUUCUCUGCCACUGUAAAGAUGAGGAAACAAAGAUGCAGAUUCUUAUUGUCUUCUCAAGUACAUAGUGAGGAGCAGAACCUUUUCUUCUGGAAAACCAGAUUUAAAGAAAUAAGUACAUAGGCAACUCAAGGGUAUGGUCUGCUGAUACACUAAAGGUUUUUUUUUGUUGUUGUUGUUUUGUUUUGUUUUUCUGUUUUAAUGACUCUGGAGAUGAAAGGUUGUAAAUCAAGGGAAUCCCAAGGUAAGAAAAUAAAACACGUUCUCAUUGGUUUGCCAGUGAAAUGAAUGAUAAGUGCAAACUUAAACCUACAAGAUCGAGGAGGUGAAGUUUAAAUAGUAAGUUCUAUAAGAGCCAACCUAUAAAAACAGAUCUGUAGUGUUCCUUCUGACUAUACAGGGGUGUGAUGGUUAAUUUUAUGCAUUAACUUAACUGGAUCACAGGAUGCCCAGAUGUUUAGCUAAACAUUAUUUUGGGUGUGUCUGUGAGGCUGUUUCCAGAGAGAUUAGCAUUUGAAUUGAUAGACUGAGUCAAGAUUGCCCUGACCAAUGCAGUUGGGUAUCAUCCAAUCCUUUGAGGCCCGGACCAGAAGCCAAGAAGAAGGAAGGGAGAAUUUGUCCCCUCUGCCUGAUUGCUUGAGCUGAACAUUGAUCUCCUCCUCCUCUUGGCACUUCUGGUUCUCAGGCCUCAGACACAGACUGGAAUCUACACCAUCUGUGGACCUUUCCUGGGCCUCCAGCUUGCAGACAGCAGGUCUGCAAAAUCAGAUCAGCAGAUCUGUGGAACCACACAGCCUCUGCCAUCAUGUGAGCCAGUUCCUUAUAAUAAAUCUAUUUACAUGAAUGUAUAUAUCUUAUUGGUUCUGUUUCCCUAGAGAACCCUAAUACAAAGGAUUCCCUCUCAGAUAUGUAUAGAAAUUUAUUUUUAUGAGUUUCUAGCCAGGCAUUCAUGUGAUACCAAUUCUUGGCCAGUACUAAACUUUGACUCUUAAUGAUUAAACCACACUCUUUAGGGAGACCACAAUGUGGGGACACAUUAACAGAAGCCAAACACCACACAAGCAAUGAAACAAGAAGGACACACGUCAUCUGCUAAAAAUGUGUGUGUGUGUGUGUGUGUGUGUGUGUGUGUGUGUGUGUGUGUGUAACAUCAGGGAUCAACAAUGCAUGAGUUUGGGAAGACCAGAUGAUGAGACCCAGCUUACAAGGUAUUUUGUAUUUCUAAUUGUUAUAAAACCCGCCAGAUUCAAAGUAAGUGAGAAAUACAGAUAUAGAAAUGGCACUCAUAAAUGAAUUCAACUCCAAAGUGAAUAAAACUUAAGACUAUUUUAAAAUAAAAGUGCAAUUUUAUUUAAAUAAAAUAAAUGCUUUGAGUUAUUUUAAAAUAAAUAUUAGAAGAGCGAACCCAAAUGUUAACUAUGGACUUGGGUGAUAAUGAUGUGCACUGUAGGUUCAUAAAUAAUUGUAAGAUAUUUACCACUCUGGCACAGGAGGCGGAUGGUGGGGUAGUCUGGGUGUGUGUAGGGGGAAGGGAGUGGGAGGACAGAGGGCAUAUAGGAACUCUGUACUUUCUGCCCAGUUUAGCCCUGAACCUAAAACUGUCCUAAAAAUAGAGUGCUUUUUUAAAAAAAAGAAAAAUUAUUUUUUUAAAAGCACAUUUUCUGGAGUUGUGAUCUUCAGGAUUACUGCUAGCAAUUGCAUUUUACAAACAUGCAGAGGCCAGUGGCUUCCAAUCUCUGAGUAUAAUAUGUUGGUCUGGAGGAUAGACUCUGUUUACCUUUUGGAUCCAGACUUUGGUUCUGAAUGAACAUAUUUUAUAGAACAUGCAAAGGGCAGCCGAGCUCGAGGAAGCCUGCAGAGUUCUGCAGUGUGAAGGCACACUGAGCAGAGAUGGCAUUUCCAGUUUUCACAGAAGAUGCCACAGCUCUUGCAUAUACUGUAUCUCCUUCCAACUUAAGUUCCCAAAAGGUAAAAUCACCCUAAACAACCACUUUUAAAAGUCUAAAUCACUUUCCUAAAAACCAGAGGAAAUAAAAAUCACAGUUAAUAUAAAACCAACUACUAAUACUUCCUCUUCUACUACAUGACUGUGUGCAUAAAUAAAACUCUGCAGACAAUUCAAGGGAGCUUUAGAAAAUCCCAGGUAUCUACAGAGGUUAUUGUUCUCUUUGAUUUACCAAUAGGGAGAAUUUAAUUGGUGCAUUUAUUGUGUUUAUCACUGUAGUAACAUGAAUGAAAAUUUUCAGGUCUCUGUCUGGCUUAGAAGGAUCACUGCAAUGCGAUGCCACUGUCUUCCUUCAGGAUGCACCCAUGUGCUGAGGGAUGUGUGCAUUCACCCACUUAGGAGGCUAUAAUCAAAGCUGGCGGUCAGAGCUGGUGUUGGACCUUCCUACUGCCAAGUAUGAGUUGAUUAAUAGCGUGAAUUUUUACUCCGCCUUGUGGUCUUCUGAUUUUUCCCCACAUAUCAGAACCUUGAAUUUACAGUACGAUUAGUAGACUUUGAACAAAUAUUUUAACUGAAUGACUAAUUGAAUAAAUGAUUUAAUUAACACAAGGUGAGUUCAGGGACCAAAUAAUUUGGAUGAUUUACAAGGUUCAUGAAAGAACAGCAGAUAAGGCUGGACUGUGGAUUGGAGAUAGAGUGUAGGAUAUCCUGAAUGCCAGCUGAGGAGGUGGGAGGAGAGGAGCCUCCAGAGGUUUCUGAGUGGGGCGGGAGCACAAUCAAAGCAUGCUUAGUAUGACUGUGAUUAGAAGUCAUGAGUCAAAGUAAAUAUCUGAGAGACAUACCUAAAAAACAAUUUUCUCUUCUUAUUUUUCAUGUUGUUAAUGAAUUAUUUUUAAGUGGGUUUUAAGUUAACCUGAAAAGGUCUUGAAAUUUCAAUAAAAUUAAAACAUUCCAUUUCCCAGAGCUCAUGCAAAAGAAUAUUUCAUAAGUGAUGUAUUUCCAAGGAAAAGAACAUUGACAUACUCUGACUACAUGCUACCUAAAAUAAUAGAGGUUAUUGGUUAAAUAUAUUAAUAACGAGAAUCAUACUAAUAGUUAAUAAGCUUAUGUGUAGUUCUCCGACUUUUUUGAAAUAAUUUAAACAUGUGUUAAGACCUAACAUUUUUACUUAUUCUUUAAAGCUACAUACAGCUUUUUAAAAAUAGCUUUAUUAAAGAGAUAAUUAACAUAUCACAAAACUCAGCCAUUUAAGUGUACAAUUCAAUGGUUUUAGUAAAUUUGCAGAGUUGUACAACCAUCAACACAGUCUAAUUUUAGAAUAUUUUCAUCAACAAAAAGAAACCCCAUAUGCAUUAGCAGUCAAUUCUCACUCCACGCCCAUCCAUCCCCAGCCCUAGGUAACUUAAUCUUUCUGUGUCUAUAGAUUUUCUUAUGCUGGACAUUUCAUUAAAAUGGUAUCAUACAAUAUGUGGUCUUUUAUGACUAGUUUGUUUCACUUAGCAUAAU